UUGUAUUUAGUUUAUUAAGAAUUUUUAAUUUUGGUUUAAAAGGAAGUGUGCAAU
rnacentral:tRNA from 1 species